UGAAAAAUAGAUUGUAUAUGAUGUUCAUUCAAAUGAAAUAAUUAUUAGCUAAUGUAGUGGAUUAUGGAUUUGAAUAUUAUAGGUUUGAAUGUGAAAUUAACGAGAAUAAAAUAAAAGAUGAGUAAUUCAUUAUAAUUAACCUCUUUCUUGUUAUAAUCCUGAACAGCAAAACGAGCAAGGUCUUGGAACUCGGGGUUGUUUGGGAAUGGAACAUCAGUAAAGCCCCCAAUUAUUGCACUAUCAUCACUAACAAGUUUGAAUUCAAUAACUUUCUUGAAGUUCUUCCAUUCCUUAACCCAAAUCUUAUCUUCAUAUAUUUUUUUCUUUCCAGCAUCAAUUGCCGCAAGUGUUAUGUAGUAUAACAUUCCAGCAACAAGUUGUUCUUUCACAUUCAAAUUUUCUACAAACUCCAAAUGAGCAUUCUGAAAAGUAGAUUGUAUAUGAAAUUCGUUCAAAUGAAAGUAUUAUUAGAUAAUGUAGUGGAAUAUCUGGAUUUGAAUAUUAUAGAUUUGAAUGUGAAACUAACGAAAAAAUUAAAAAGGAGUAAGUCAUUUUAAUUAACCUCUUUCUAAUUAUAAUCUUGAACAGCAAAACGAGCAAGAUCUUGGAAUUCGGGGUUGUUUGGGAAUGGAACAUUGAUAAUGCCCCCAAGCUUUGCACUAUCAUCACCAACAAGCUUGAAUUCAACAACUUUCUUGAAGUUCUCCCAUACCUUAACCCAAAUCUUAGCUUCAUAUAUUUUCUUUUUUCCAGCAUCAGUUGCCACAAGUGUUAUAUAGUAUAUCAUUCCAGCAACAAGUUGCUCCUUCACAUUCAAAUUUUCUACAUACUCCAAAUGAGCAUUCUGAAAAAUAGAUUGUAUAUGAUGUUCAUUCAAAUGAAAUAAUUAUUAGCUAAUGUAGUGGAUUAUGGAUUUGAAUAUUAUAGGUUUGAAUGUGAAAUUAACGAGAAUAAAAUAAAAGAUGAGUAAUUCAUUAUAAUUAACCUCUUUCUUGUUAUAAUCCUGAACAGCAAAACGAGCAAGGUCUUGGAACUCGGGGUUGUUUGGGAAUGGAACAUUGAUAAUGCCCCCAAGCUUUGCACUAUCAUCACCAACAAGCUUGAAUUCAACAACUUUCUUGAAGUUCUCCCAUACUUCAAAUUUUCUACAAACUCCAAAUGAGCAUUCUGAAAAGUAGAUUGUCUAUGACAUUUGUUCAAAUGAAAGUAUUAUUAGAUACUGCAAUAGAUUAAAGAUUUGAAUAUUAUAGGUUUUAAUGUGAAAUUAACAAAAAAAAAAGAAACUAAAAGUAAGUCAUUAUAUAUAAUUGACCUGUGUAUUAUUGUAAUCCUGAACAGCAAAACGAGCAAGAUCUUGGAACUCGGGGCUGUUUGGGUUUGGAACAUUGAUAAUGCCCCCAGUUUUUGCACUAUCAUCACCAACAAGCUUGAAUUCUACAACUUUCUUGAAGUCCUCCCAUUCCUUCACCCAAAUCUUAGUUUCAUAUAUUUUCUUCUUUCCAGCAUCAAUUGCCG
rnacentral:lncRNA from 1 species